AGCAGGAGAGAAUUAGGGUUUUUUUUGGGCAAGGAUAACGGGAGGACAAGAUGUAAUUACCAGAGGAGUUAGACUUAAUAAGGCUUACAAAAUUAGGAUUUCAGUUGUUGUGCUCAGCGAUUGAGUUACUGUUGCUUCUGAACUAAGUUCGUGUUGUGUUUCCCUUAACGUGGCGGCUCGUCUGGGUUCAAGAGAGAAAGGGAUGGCGGCAAAGCUUGGAUUUGCUUGAGGUUGCUGCAGUUUGACUGCCUCCGGGAUGAUGGAUGAAGAAGACCCUGAGGUCGGGAACCUGGGUAGUCAGCUUAAGGAACUCUUCCAGACCUCUGAGAGAAGAUCUGAAGCAAGUCAGGCACACUGAUGUUGGUGUCAAGGAGUUCUGGAGCAGAUUCCAAUGAGCAGGGCCCAGCGAAUGGAAAUGCCUUCUCUAGUUCCCGGAGAACAAGGCCAGUGGAGUAUGCCUUCCAUCAACUCUUUAAAGGGAGAACUCCCAGAAGCCAGCAGUGCCCUCGACAUAACCAGCUCAAAUUCAGGCUGCCAAGGCCACUACAAGCACCUCUUAUCACAACGCCUUGCCAGAACAUGACACAGAAUCUGUCAAAUUUCAUUUCUUAGUCCCUCAAAUCCCUAUGCUGCCCUGAACCCAGAACCUGACACCUGACAGCCCUGGAAUGUCUUUACAGACUCUUGGCAUGGUUCACUCUGAGGCUAUGAGGGGACUGAAAGUUUCCUGCCUUUACCGACACGUCUGCUCCUCAGGUUCAAGGACCUGGUGACGCCCCUUUCCUAUGUCCACUGAGGUAGCAGUGCUUUGGAUGAGGAGGUGGUAUCAUGGUACUCCC